rnacentral:tRNA from 1 species
UCUAAUAUGGCAGAUUAGUGCAAUGAAUUUAAGAUUCAUAUAUAAAGAACUCAACUUUUAUUAGAA